rnacentral:rRNA from 1 species
UACGUAGGGGGCAAGCGUUGUCCGGAUUUAUUGGGCGUAAAGAGCGUGUAGGCGGCCAGGUAGGUCCGUUGUGAAAACUCGAGGCUCAACCUCGAGACGUCGGCGGAAACCCUCUGGCUAGAGUCCGGAAGAGGAGAGUGGAAUUCCUGGUGUAGCGGUGAAAUGCGUAGAUAUACGGAGGAACACCAGCGGCGAAGGCGGGUAGCUGGGCCAACACUGACGCUGAUGCGCGAAAGCUAGGGUAGCAAACGGG